rnacentral:rRNA from 1 species
CCAGACUCCUACGGGAGGCAGCAGUGAGGAAUAUUGGUCAAUGGGCUUACGCCUGAACCAGCCAAGUCGCGUGAGGGAAGACUGCCCUAUGGGUUGUAAACCUCUUUUGUCAGGGAGCAACGCCGGCUACGUGUAGCCGGACUGAGAGUACCUGAAGAAAAAGCAUCGGCUAACUCCGUGCCAGCAGCCGCGGUAAUACGGAGGAUGCGAGCGUUAUCCGGAUUUAUUGGGUUUAAAGGGUGCGUAGGCGGAAGGUUAAGUCAGCGGUAAAAUGUCGGUGCUCAACACCGGCCUGCCGUUGAAACUGGUCUUCUUGAGUGAGCGAGAAGUAUGCGGAAUGCGUGGUGUAGCGGUGAAAUGCAUAGAUAUCACGCAGAACUCCGAUUGCGAAGGCAGCGUACCGGCGCCCAACUGACGCUGAAGCACGAAGGCGUGGGUAUCGAACAGGAUUAGAUACCCCUGUAU